UCUCUCUUUUGCCUAGUGGGUUUGAAAGAUAACGCAUCAGUAUGUUGUCUUUUCUUGUGCAACAAAAGAAUAUAGAACAACACAUCAGUUUGCAUUAAAACAAAAAAAGAACACCACAUCCACAUCUGCCUCACCUCACCUUCUCAUGCAUUUGUUCCUCUCAGAUUUGUCAAAUUUUUAAAUUUUAAAGUGUUUUUUUUCCCUCAAAUCAUCGACAUUGAUUAGACGAUGUUUCAGAGUAUAUCUAACUUUGUAAACAUAAGAAUUAAUGUUUUACUUUUGGAUGACGUAAAUAAAAACCUUUUUACAUUGUAAAUUAAUUAAUGAUUACUGACAGAUUUAUGGGAUGUAAAAUGAAUUAGUGGUAACUUGACGUACUAACCAGAUUGAAAAACAUCAGUCACCUGAGUUACCUCAAAUGCUUCUCCAAUUGUUGAUGUUCCUUACCACAGCUUCUUCCUCGCUACAUUCAUCGAUUUGUUUCCUGAUGUAUGUCACUGUCCGAGGCUGGGAUUGCUCUUGGAGAGCUACAAUCCUUGGUAGAUCUUAAUGAUUUCAUCUCAAUGGCGACUAUAUUUCACAUCGAUGUACUCUCUGUGACUCCAACUCUAAUUAGCCAGAAAAAGGCGUAGAAGAAGAAGAUCAAAGGAAACAUAAGACAACGCCCUUUUCUCAUACAUAUGAUGAUAAUGAUGAUGAUGAAAAAAGCCUGUGUAUAUAUCAUUUAGAAUGCUACGACCAAUUUCAAAACCGAACAUGUUCUCGACAUGUUUGUAACUCAAAAAUAUACUUGAAAAUACUACCAGUUGAGAAAAAAAGAUA